rnacentral:rRNA from 1 species
GACAGAGGGUGCAAACGUUGUUCGGAAUUACUGGGCGUAAAGCGCGUGUAGGCGGCUAUGUAAGUCGGGCGUGAAAUCCCACGGCUCAACCGUGGAACUGCCGGGCAUACUGGCGAUCUUGAGGCAUUCAGGGGCGAGCGGAACAAGUGGUGGAGCGGUGAAAUGCGUAGAUAUCACUUGGAACGCCAAUGGUGAAAACAGCUCGCUGGGAAUGAUCUGACACUGAGACGCGAAAGCCAGGGGAGCGAACGGG